GCGUGAAGGAUGAAGGUCUUCGGAUCGUAAACUUCUGUCAUUGGUGAACAAGGCCCACACAGUAACUGGUGUUGGGAUUGAUAGUAGCCGAAGAGGAAGAGGCGGCUAACUCUGUGCCAGCAGCCGCGGUAAUACAGAGGCCUCAAGCGUUGUUCGGAUUCAUUGGGCGUAAAGGGUGCGUAGGUGGCGAGGCAAGUCAGGUGUGAAAUCCCGGGGCUCAACCCUGGAACUGCACUUGAUACUACUUUGCUUGAGUACUGGAGAGGAGAUUGGAAUUUACGGUGUAGCAGUGAAAUGCGUAGAUAUCGUAAGGAAGACCAGUGGCGAAGGCGAAUCUCUGGACAGUUACUGACACUGAGGCACGAAGGCCAGGGGAGCAAACGGGAUUAGAUACCCCGGUAGUCCUGGCAGUAAACGGUGCGCGUUUGGUGUGGGAGGAAUCGACCCCUUCCGUGCCGGAGCUAACGCGUUAAACGCGCCGCCUGGGGAGUACGGUCGCAAGAUUA
rnacentral:rRNA from 1 species